ensembl:snRNA U6 U6 spliceosomal RNA
GUACUCGCUUCAGCCGUACCUAUACUAUAAUUGGAACGAUACAGAGAAAAUUAGCAUGGCCACUGUGCAAAUUCGUGAAGCAUUCCAUAUUUUU